AUGCCUCUCCUUAAUGUCAAUAUGCCUUCUCCAUUGCUGUUCUGGUUAGUGUUUAUUGGCUUAUUUCACUGUAGAGCCUCUAGCCCUGCUCAUUACACCUUAUCCAACCUCUCAGUUCCUCCACCCACACAUGCUAUGACAUCUUCUGGUUUCAAUGAUGUUUCUAGAGACAAUAUCUCUCUCAUAAUCACUAAAUGCCUAGGUUUACCUUCUCUGUACUCACAUCCCACCAUACCUUUGUCUGUACAUUAUACCUUGAAGCUAUUUUAUCGCCCCCAGAAACCUGCUCCUUUUUCUCUCUAUUCUGGACGUCACAGACGACCAAUUCUUAUAGCUUUUAGCCGUACCCUCAUACUUAUUCUUCUCUGCUCCUCUGGGGAUGUAGAGGUGAAUCCAGGCCCUGCAGUGCCUGGCUCCACUCCUACUCCCCAGGCGCUCUCUUUUGAUGACUUCUGUAACCGUAAUAACCUUGGUUUCAUGCAUGUUAACAUUAGAAGCCUCCUCCCUAAGUUUGUUUUAUUCAGUGCUUUAGCACACUCUGCCAACCCGGAUGUCCUAGCUGUGUCUGAAUCUUGGCUGAGGAAGUCCACCAAAAACUCUGAAAUCUUAAUCCCUAACUACAACGUUUUCAGACAAGAUAGAACGACCAAAGGGGGCGGUGUUGCAAUCUACUGCAGAGAUAGCCUGCAGAGUUCUGUCCUGCUAUCCAGGUCUGUACCCAAACAAUUUGAACUUCUACUUUUAAAAAUCCACCUCUCCAAAAACAAGUCUCUCACCGUUGCCGCCUGCUAUAGACCCCCCUCGGCCCCUAGUUGUGCUCUGGACACCAUAUGUGAACUGAUUGCCCCCCAUCUAUCUUCAGAGCUCGUGCUACUAGGUGACCUAAACUGGGACAUGCUUAACACCCCAGCCAUCCUACAAUCCAAGCUUGAUGCCCUCAAUCUCACACAAAUUAUUAAUGAACCCACCAGGUACAACCCCAAAGCCGCAAACACUGGCACCCUCAUAGAUAUCAUUCUAACCAACGUGCCCUCUAAAUACACCUCUGCUGUUUUCAACCAAGAUCUCAGCGAUCACUGCCUCAUUGCCUGCACCCGUAAUGGGUCAGCGGUCAAACGACCUCCACUCAUCACUGUCAAACGCUCCCUGAAACAUUUCAACGAGCAAGCCUUUCUAAUCGACCUGGCCCUGGUAUCCUGGAAGGAUAUUGACCUCAUCCCGUCAGUAGAGGAUGCCUGGUUAUUUAAAAAAAAAAUGCCUUCCUCUCCAUCUUAA
rnacentral:lncRNA from 8 species